rnacentral:rRNA from 1 species
AGUCAAUAGAUACCCGGGUAGUCCACGCCGUAAACGAUGAAUAUUAGGUGUAGGGGUUGUCAUGACCUCUGUGCCGCCGCUAAACGCAUUAAGUAUUCCGCCUGGGGAGUACGGUCGCAAGAUUAAAACUCAAAGGAAUUGACGGGGGCCCGCACAAGCAGCGGAGCAUGUGGUUUAAUUCGAAGCAACGCGAAGAACCUUACCUAGACUUGACAUCUCCUGAAUUACUCUGUAAUGGAGGAAGCCACUUCGGUGGCAGGAAGACAGGUGGUGCAUGGUUGUCGUCAGCUCGUGUCGUGAGAUGUUGGGUUAAGUCCCGCAACGAGCGCAACCCUUAUUGUUAGUUGCUACCAUUUAGUUGAGCACUCUAGCGAGACUGCCCGGGUUAACCGGGAGGAAGGUGGGGAUGACGUCAAAUCAUUAUGCCCCUUAUGUCUAGGGCUACGCACGUGCUACAAUGGUCGGUACAAUGAGAUGCAACCUCGCGAGAGUGAGCAAAACUAUAAAACCGAUCUCAGUUCGGAUUGUAGGCUGAAAC